GAAUUGGGAUGGUUGAGUAUCUCGCCUCUCAGUUCUGCCUGUAUUCUACCCUUGUUUGUCAUAUACUAUUAUUUCCUCGGCAGGCUUGCUUGCCGAGUGAAACCAUUUAUAACCUUUUUAAUUUUCAAUCAGCGUCUGAAAAAAUUAAUAAUUACAACUUUCAACAACGGAUCUCUUGGUUCUGGCAUCGAUGAAGAACGCAGCGAAAUGCGAUAAGUAGUGUGAAUUGCAGAAUUCAGUGAAUCAUCGAAUCUUUGAACGCACAUUGCGCCCCUUGGUAUUCCAUGGGGCAUGCCUGUUCGAGCGUCAUUUGUACCUUCAAGCUUUGCUUGGUGUUGGGUGUUUGUCCCGAGGGACUCGCCUUAAAGUAAUUGGCAGCCAGUGUUUGGUUUUGAAGCGCAGCACAAGUCGCGAUUCAAGGCUACACGCCCGCUUCCACAAGCCUUUUUUCACUUUUGACCUCGGAUCAGGUAGGGAUACCCGCUGAACUUAAGCAUAUCAA
rnacentral:rRNA from 1 species